UAGGCCUAACACAUGCAAGUCGAGCGAGGACUUCGGUCCUAGCGGCGGACGGGUGAGUAACGCGUGGGAACGUGCCCCUUGGUACGGAAUAGCCCCGGGAAACUGGGAGUAAUACCGUAUGAGCUCUACGGAGGAAAGAUUUAUCGCCAAGGGAUCGGCCCGCGUUGGAUUAGGUAGUUGGUGGGGUAAUGGCCUACCAAGCCGACGAUCCAUAGCUGGUUUGAGAGGAUGAUCAGCCACACUGGGACUGAGACACGGCCCAGACUCCUACGGGAGGCAGCAGUGGGGAAUCUUAGAGAAUGGGCGCAAGCCUGAUCUAGCCAUGCCGCGUAUUAGAGAGAGGCCUUAGGGUUGUAAAGCUCUUUCAGCUGGGAAGAUAAUGAC
rnacentral:rRNA from 1 species